rnacentral:rRNA from 1 species
UACGAAGGGGGCUAGCGUUGCUCGGAAUCACUGGGCGUAAAGCGCACGUAGGCGGAUCUUUAAGUCAGGGGUGAAAUCCUGGAGCUCAACUCCAGAACUGCCUUUGAUACUGGGGAUCUCGAGUCCGGAAGAGGUGAGUGGAACUCCCGGUGUAGUGGUGAAAUGCGUAGAGAUCGGGAGGAACACCAGAGGCGAAAGCGGUUAACUGGGUCUAAACUGACGCUGAGGCGCGAAGGCUAGGGGAGCAAACAGG